UACGUAGGGGGCAAGCGUUGUCCGGAAUCAUUGGGCGUAAAGCGCGUGUAGGCGGUUACGUAAGUCUGCUGUGAAAGUCGGAGGCUCAACCUUCGAAAGCCGGUGGAUACUGCGUGACUAGAGUACGGAAGAGGAGAGUGGAAUUCCUGGUGUAGCGGUGGAAUGCGCAGAUAUCAGGAGGAACACCAAUAGCGAAGGCAGCUCGCUGGGACGUUACUGACACUGAGGCGCGAAAGCGUGGGGAGCGAACAGGAUAGAAACCCU
rnacentral:rRNA from 1 species